rnacentral:rRNA from 1 species
AACUUUUGACUUGACCUCAAAUCAGGUAGGACUACCCGCUGAACUUAAGCAUAUCAAUAAGCGGAGGA